ensembl:lncRNA
GGGAGAAGCAGGGAAUUCCACGCCAGAGGGAAGUUAACUGCAUUCUACAUUGUGAUUUAUUAACUGGGGACCUUUUAGUAGCUGGCGAAGCAUCUAUUCUUUAAAAGCCUGUAUCCUAUUCAGAAAGGUUUGCCGUCAGUGGGAACUAAAGAGUAUUAUUAGAGAGAACAUUUGAUCUCAAGGGUUGGCUUGUUUGGUCUAGUCCUAUGCAAAAAAAAAAUAUCCUGUCUUAAAAUAUGUUAACUAUAUUUCAGCAAACCAGAGUCUCUAAGACAUGAUGAUAGAUGUAUGUGAUGCCCCUCUGUGGGAGGUUUAACUGUGUUAGGACUGUUAUUUCUAACAGUUCUUCCCCACAUACUCUUUUUGUUGUUGGCUGGACCCGCAGAGAGCGAACCUGGUCUGCCGGCCCCUGGACACAGUGGAAGAGGGUGGGCGCGGUCCUGCUCCCAUCGUCAGGGAGCAGAGUUCUGGCCCAGACGUUGUACGUGAGACGCAGAGGAGACAAGGUUCAGGCAGCCCAGUUCCAGCAAAGUGUCGGGCACUCUCGGUGGACGAGCUCAGGCAAGCAGGAGUCGGGGAAGGCUUCUUGGAAGAUGCCCUGUCAUUCUCCUCCCUUCAUGGGAUGUCACUGCCCUUUAUUUAGCCUGUCGACUGGGACCUUCACAGCUGGCUGUGAAUUCAAGGGCCCCCCUGCCAAGCCCUCUCAGGCAUUUUCUUCCUCAAGCAUCCAGGAAAGCCCUGGAAAGCGGACCGAGAUGGAGUUGAGUUGCCACCCUGCCACGCAGACGAGUCGUACCUGCUCCGGAGUCUACUUUUCCAUCUGUAAAAUAGGUGCAAGGGUGUUUGUGGUUUGCCUCCCACCCAGGUCAUGAAAAGUCAAGGAGAAGGAUAACAAAGCCCUUCACAAACCGUCCCGCGCUGAACAAAGACGCGAAAGCUCAUGAUCACGACGAUGAGACCGACGACGACGAAGAUGAUGUUGCUAACUGUGCUUUGCACGUGAAGUUCCUUGAUUUUUGACUGACCGGUUAGACAGGGUACCCUGAAUGGAACUGCCCAGCCCCUUCCUUCUAGAGUAACCUGGGGUAGGAGACUCAACCCGCUCCAAUUGAACCAUCUGUAAAAUGGGAGUAAUUAUACUCACUAGGCAGUGUUGCUGGGAGAACUGCAAUCAAUGAGUCGACAGACUUACAAGCGCCCCAGCAGAGUGCCGGGUCCUUUCCGGGAGCUUCAUCCAAUCGGAAUUGAACUUAGAGGGGGUUAGAGGACAUUGUAAUGUCCCCCAACUUGAAUGGGGUUUUAUUUUGCUUGUUAAGUAGCAUAUGAUUUAACCUGUCUGAGCGUUGGUUUCUUCAUCUGUAAAAUGGGCACGAUGAUGCUUACCUCAGCAGAUUGUUGUGUGGGUGAAUGGGAAUUGUCUCUGGAG